CGAUGCAUGUAAUUCGCGUCGCAAAAGAUUGUCCGAUCGAACGGACACCGGGCAGGCGGUCCCCCGCGAAUCGAUCGAUUCGUAUCGAGCCCGCGCGGUCGGUCGGCGCCGACGAUGCGGGGAAACGGUUUCCGACAGUUUCGAAUUUUCGUGCGCCGGACGUAGACCGUAGCGGCAUCGAAAUGUUGCAGCAUGAAACGCAACGGUAGAUGCGUACACGUAUAUACGUAUAUACGUAUGGAACGGCGAAGAGACGCGAGAUAACGAGAUAGCUGAUAAAAAAAAAUCGAGGAACGAAAGAUUAAUCGAACGGAGCACGAUCGACGGCAACUUUGAAAUAUUGGAAACCGCGGCGACUACGAAUCUGCUCCUCUCUCUACUUGGAACGUAACCCAAGCGAAAUUCGGAAGCAAACCUUUUAGCAGUUGCGAGUAGUCUCCGCAGUUCCCGUAGUUGCAAGUAGCGGUGGGAGGGUGGUGAGGGAUUUCCCGUGGACAUCUAUCUCUGCAACCAUGUUUUCUGUACAUGAAUGUGUAUUUUGUCAUAUUCAAAAUAUAAUAAUAAACGUUA